UACGUAGGGUGCGGGCGUAAUCGGAAUUACUGGGCGUAAAGCGUGCGCAGGCGGUUUUGUAAGCCAGAUGUGAAAUCCCCGGGCUUAACCUGGGAAUGGCAUUUGGGACUGCAAGGCUCGAGUGCGGCAGAGGAGACUGGAAUUCCUGGUGUAGCAGUGAAAUGCGUAGAUAUCAGGAGGAACACCGAUGGCGAAGGCAGGUCUCUGGGCUGACACUGACGCUCAUGCACGAAAGCGUGGGGAGCAAACAGG
rnacentral:rRNA from 1 species